rnacentral:lncRNA from 1 species
CUAUUACCAAUAAAGGAUACCGAUAAACGGCUUAUGUAUCUUCUUACGCAUACUUACCAUCUACUAUGAGUCAAUAAUAUUUGGUUCAGAGCAGCACACCAUUACAGAAACAAUUGGCUGCAAGUGGAUUCUACUACGUUUCUCCAAUGCUGAAUGUAGUGCCUACUUACGGUAUCAUCCACGUCGAGUCAAUGGCAAACCCCAC